CUGAUCCAGCCAUGCCGCGUGUGUGAAGAAGGUCUGUCGGAUUGUAAAGCACUUUAAGUUGGGAGGAAGGGCAGUAAGUUAAUACCUUGCUGUUUUGACGUUACCAACAGAAUAAGCACCGGCUAACUUCGUGCCAGCAGCCGCGGUAAUACGAAGGGUGCAAGCGUUAAUCGGAAUUACUGGGCGUAAAGCGCGCGUAGGUGGUUCAGCAAGUUGGAUGUGAAAGCCCCGGGCUCAACCUGGGAAUUGCAUCCAAAACUACUGAGCUAGAGUACGGUAGAGGGUGGUGGAAUUUCCUGUGUAGCGGUGAAAUGCGUAGAUAUAGGAAGGAACACCAGUGGCGAAGGCGACCACCUGGACUGAUACUGACACUGAGGUGCGAAAGCGUGGGGAGCAAACGAGAUUAGAUACCCUGGUAGUCCACGCCAUAUACGAUGUCCACUAGCCCUUGGGAUCCUUGAGAUCUUAGUGGCGCAGCUAAGGCGAGAACUCCACCGCCUGGGGAGUACGGCCGCAAGGUUAAAACUCAGAUGAAUUGACCGGGGCCCGCACAAACGGUGGAGCAUGUGGUUUAAUUCGAAGCAACGCGAACAACCUUACCUGGCCGUGACAUGCAGAUAACUUUGCAGACAUGGAUUGGUGCCUUCGGGAACUCUGACGCACGUGCUGCAUGUCUGUCGUCGUCUCGUGUCCUGAGAUGUUGGGUUAAGUGUCGUAACGAGCCCAACCGUUGUCCUUAGUUACCAGCGCCUCUUGUGGGCACUCUAAAGAGACUGCCUGUGACGAGAGUCAACAACGUGGGGAUGACGUCUAGUCAUCAUAGUCCCUGGAUGGACAUCCCUAGUCGAGUGCUACGGUGGUCACGUACAACGGGCUGCAAACCCAUACGCGUGGAGCUAAUCCCAUUAAAAUCGAACAAAGUCUAGCAUCCCAUUCUGUAACUGCGACUGCGUGGAGUCAAAAUCGCCAGUACUCAUGCUUCUGAUUGUGUCAAUACAUA
rnacentral:rRNA from 1 species